rnacentral:tRNA from 1 species
GCCGACGUAGCUCAGCUGGUAGAGCAACGGUUUCGUAAACCGUAGGUCGAGAGUUCGAAUCUCCUCGUCGGCUCCA